AGAAUCAACGCUGGCGGCGUGCCUAACACAUGCAAGUCGAACGAGAAAGUGGUAGCAAUACCAUGAGUAAAGUGGCGCACGGGUGAGUAACACGUGACUAACCUACCCUUGAGUGGGGGAUAACUGAGGGAAGCCUUAGCUAAUACCGCAUAAUACCCACGGGUCAAAGGAGCAAUUCGCUCGAGGAGGGGGUCGCGGCCGAUUAGUUAGUUGGCGGGGUAAUGGCCCACCAAGACGAUGAUCGGUA
rnacentral:rRNA from 1 species